GACCGCGUAGCUCAGUUGGCAGAGCAUUGGACUAGUAUUCCAAAGGUCGUAGGUUUGAUUCCCACCGUGGCCA